ACGCUCGACACCUACGGGGAGGCAGCAGGUAGGGAAUCUUCCACAAUGGGCGCAAGCCUGAUGGAGCAACACCGCGUGAGUGAAGAAGGGUUUCGGCUCGUAAAGCUCUGUUGUUGGAGAAGAACGUGCGUGAGAGUAACUGUUCACGCAGUGACGGUAUCCAACCAGAAAGUCACGGCUAACUACGUGCCACAGCCGCGGUAAUCUGAGCGGGCUGGCAAGGC
rnacentral:rRNA from 1 species